GACGAACGCUGGCGGCGUGCUUAACACAUGCAAGUCGAACGGAAAGGCCCUGCUUUUGUGGGGUGCUCGAGUGGCGAACGGGUGAGUAACACGUGAGUAACCUGCCCUUGACUUUGGGAUAACUUCAGGAAACUGGGGCUAAUACCGGAUAGGAGCUCCUGCUGCAUGGUGGGGGUUGGAAAGUUUCGGCGGUUGGGGAUGGACUCGCGGCUUAUCAGCUUGUUGGUGGGGUAGUGGCUUACCAAGGCUUUGACGGGUAGCCGGCCUGAGAGGGGGACCGGCAUAAUUGGGACUGAGAUACGGCACAGAGUGCUCAGGGGGCAGGGAGUGGGAAAUCUUGCAAACCGGGUGGACGUGGGAUGCAGAAACGCCGCGGGCGGGAUGGGGGCGUUGGGGUAUAGACUCGUUAACGUCUGGUACGAGGAGUACGUGACGGUAAUGGGUAAAGACGCCCCGGAAAUUUACGGG
rnacentral:rRNA from 1 species